GCUUCUGAUGAUGACUAAACUAAAUAACUUUCGUUCUUCUGAGAAUAUUCUAUGUGGAAGAAAUUUGGAGACCUGAACUGAAGAAGC
rnacentral:snoRNA from 1 species